rnacentral:tRNA from 1 species
GCCACCUUAGCUCAACUGGCAGAGCAAGCGCUUCGUAAGCGCUAGGUUCGGGGUUCAAAUCCCCGAGGUGGCU